rnacentral:rRNA from 1 species
ACGCUCGACACCUACGGAAGGCAGCAGUGGGGAAUAUUGCACAAUGGAGGAAACUCUGAUGCAGCGAUGCCGCGUGAGGGAAGAAGGUUUUCGGAUUGUAAACCUCUGUCUUUGGGGACGAUAAUGACGGUACCCAAGGAGGAAGCUCCGGCUAACUACGUGCCACAGCCGCGGUAAUCUGAGCGGGCUGGCAAGGC